UACGUAGGGUGCGAGCGUUGUCCGGAAUUAUUGGGCGUAAAGGGCUCGUAGGCGGUUUGUCGCGUCGGGAGUGAAAACACACAGCUUAACUGUGUGCUUGCUUCCGAUACGGGCAGACUAGAGGUAUGCAGGGGAGAACGGAAUUCCUGGUGUAGCGGUGAAAUGCGCAGAUAUCAGGAGGAACACCGGUGGCGAAGGCGGUUCUCUGGGCAUUACCUGACGCUGAGGAGCGAAAGUGUGGGGAGCGAACAGGAUUAGAUACCCUAGUAGU
rnacentral:rRNA from 1 species